GCCGUGGUGGCGGAACUGGUAUACGCGUACGCCUCAGAAGCGUAUCCCGCAAGGGUUGGGAGUUCGAGUCUCCCCCACGGCA
rnacentral:tRNA from 1 species